rnacentral:rRNA from 1 species
AUUGAACGCUGGCGGCAGGCCUAACACAUGCAAGUCGAGCGGAUGAAGGGAGCUUGCUCCUGGAUUCAGCGGCGGACGGGUGAGUAAUGCCUAGGAAUCUGCCUGGUAGUGGGGGAUAACGUCCGGAAACGGGCGCUAAUACCGCAUACGUCCUGAGGGAGAAAGUGGGGGAUCUUCGGACCUCACGCUAUCAGAUGAGCCUAGGUCGGAUUAGCUAGUUGGUGGGGUAAAGGCCUACCAAGGCGACGAUCCGUAACUGGUCUGAGAGGAUGAUCAGUCACACGGGAGCUGAGGGACGGUCCGGACUGCGACGGGAGGCGGCAGGGGGGAAUGUUGGGCAAUGGGGGGAGGCGGGGUGCAGGGAGGCGGGGGGUGUGGGGAAGGGCGGCGGAGUGGAAAGGAGUGGAAGUGGGGAGGAGGGGGAGUGGGGGGAGAGCGGGCGGGGGUGGCGUUGCGGGGAGAGUGAGCGCGGGCUAACUUCGUG